rnacentral:lncRNA from 1 species
AAUGUACCAAUCAUCAUAUGUUGACCAAUAACAUUGAAAGUCAAAGUCAAACAAUCAAAAACAGAAGUGAGAUGAAGAUUGGAAGUCAAGAAAUGAACAAAAUAUUUUUGCAUUUUUUUUAAUAUUAAAAUAAACUUGAAUUAAAAUAAAAGAAAUGGUAAAACUUCAAAAUUACUUCAAAUCUACCUUGAAAGGUCCAAGUAAUUUAUCCCAAGUUCAACA